rnacentral:rRNA from 1 species
GCAGGGAAGCUGUUAAGUCCGCCGCUUGGGAAGUAUGGUCGCAAGACUGAAACUUAAAGGAAUUGGCGGGGGAGCACCAUAACGCGUGGAGCGUGCGGUUUAAUUGGAUUCAAUGCCGGACAUCUCACAAGUGGCGACAGCAGAAUGAUGGCCAGGUUGACGACCUUGCUUGACAAGCUGAGAGGAGGUGCAUGGCCUCCGUCAGCUCGUACCGUGAUGCGUCCUGUUAAGUCAGGCAACGAGCGAGACCCACCCCCGG